UACGUAGGUGGCAAGCGUUGUCCGGAAUUAUUGGGCGUAAAGCGCGCGCAGGCGGCCUCUUAAGUCUGAUGUGAAAGCCCCCGGCUCAACCGGGGAGGGCCAUUGGAAACUGGGAGGCUUGAGUAUAGGAGAGAAGAGUGGAAUUCCACGUGUAGCGGUGAAAUGCGUAGAGAUGUGGAGGAACACCAGUGGCGAAGGCGACGUCUUUGGCCUAUAACUGACGCUGAGGCGCGAAAGCGUGGGGAGCAAACAGG
rnacentral:rRNA from 1 species